rnacentral:rRNA from 1 species
GCUCCUACGGGGGGCAGCAGUCGAGAAUCAUUCACAAUGGGGGAAACCCUGAUGGUGCGACGCCGCGUGGGGGAAUGAAGGUCUUCGGAUUGUAAACCCCUGUCAUGUGGGAGCAAAUUAAAAAGAUAGUACCACAAGAGGAAGAGACGGCUAACUCUGUGCCAGCAGCCGCGGUAAUACAGAGGUCUCAAGCGUUGUUCGGAAUCACUGGGCGUAAAGCGUGCGUAGGCUGUUUCGUAAGUCGUGUGUGAAGGCGGGGGGCCCAACCGGGGGCCGCAACUG